rnacentral:miRNA from 1 species
UCACCGGGUGCUUUGCAGUGGG